CCUACGGGAGGCAGCAGUGGGGGAUAUUGCACAAUGGGGGGAACCCUGAUGCAGCGACGCCGCGUGGGUGAAGAAGCGCCUCGGCGCGUAAAGCCCUGUCAGCAGGGAAGAAAAUGACGGUACCUGAAGAAGAAGCCCCGGCUAACUACGUGCCAGCAGCCGCGGUAAUACGUAGGGGGCAAGCGUUAUCCGGAUUUACUGGGUGUAAAGGGAGCGUAGACGGUAUGGCAAGUCUGAAGUGAAAGCCCAGGGCGUAACCCUGGGACUGCUUUUGAAACUGGUAGACUAGAGUGCUGGAGAGGGAAGUGGAAUUCCUAGGGUAGCGGUGAAAUGCGUAGAUAUUAGGAGGAACACCAGUGGCGAAGGCGGCUUACUGGACAGUAACUGACGUUGAGGCUCGAAAGCGUGGGGAGCAAACAGGAUUAGAUACCCGAGUAGUC
rnacentral:rRNA from 1 species